rnacentral:rRNA from 1 species
CCUGAACGCUGGCGGCGUGGCUAAGACAUGCAAGUCGCACGGAGGUAGCAAUACCUUAGUGGCGAACGGGUGAGUAAUGAAUCGCUAAUGUGCCCCGGACUCUGGGAUAGCUGCCCGAAAGGGCAGGUAAUACCAGAUGAUAUAACCGAACCGCAUGGUUUGGUUCUCAAAGGUCCGCCGGUCUGGGAGCAGGCGAUUUCGUAUCAGCUAGUUGGUGAGGUAACGGCNCACCAAGGCGACGACGCGUAGCCGGACUGAGAGGUUGGCCGGCCACAUUGGGACUGAGACACUGCCCAGACUCCUACGGGGGGCUGCAGUAACGAAUCUUCCGCAAUGCACGAAAGUGUGACGGAGCGACGCCGCGUGUAGGACGAAGCCC